rnacentral:rRNA from 1 species
GAUGAACGCUGGCGGCGUGCUUAACACAUGCAAGUCGAACGGAAAGGCCCAAGCUUGCUUGGGUACUCGAUUGGCGAACGGGUGCGUAUCACGUGUGUAAUCUGCCCUGCACUACGGGAUAUGCCUGCGAAACUGGGUCUACUACCGGAUAUGAUGAUUUUUUCGGUGCCAUUGUGGAAAGUUUUUUCGCUGUGGUAUGAGCUCGCGGCGUAUCAGCUUGUUGUUGGGGUCGUGGCCUAGCAGGGCGUCGAGGGGUAGCCGGCAUGCGAGGGUGUACGGCCGGUCUGGGCCCGUGCUACGGGCCAGAGUACGGAGGGGGGCAGCAGUGGGGAAUACCGGACAAUGGGAGCACGCGUGAGGCAGGGAGGCCGCGGGGGGGAUGACGGCCUUCGGGUUGUAAACACAUCUCGCUAGGGAAGAAGCGGUGUUGUGACGGUACCUGGAGAAGAAGCACCGGCUAACUACGUG